rnacentral:lncRNA from 1 species
UGCCACUCUACAGAACCGUACAUGAGAUUUUCACCGCAUACGGCUCCUCGUUCAAUUCUUUCGACGUAAUUCGAUCCUUUAUCCUCGUUCGAUAAUCUCCACUUCUUCCCCCAAACCCAAAAUCACGAGAACUAAUUAAGUCAGUCACGUUUUCAUGUUUGAAUUGAACACUUUUUUUUAUUCUCAAAGGAGAAAAUUAUUCUUUUUACUUAUUUCUUUUCUUUUUUGCCAUUAUUCCUUCGUUUCAUCCUGUAAGAUCUGACCCAUUUUCUUAUUCAUCGAAAGGUCAGGUACGGAAUAAAGAAGAUUGAUUUUUUGAUCAAAAGUACUAUAUGAAAUUGUUGGUUUUUUCUCUUUCUACCUAUGUUGUAAGUAUACUGUUUAAAUCAAUAUCAAUAGAAAACCUUUUUUUCUGUAUGAAUCAAUAUUAUUCCAUUCCAAUUCCUUGCCAAUAUUUCCCAAAGAAAAUACGGAAUUGGAUCUUAAAUUGACGGGUUAGUGUGAGCUUAUCCAUGCGGUUAUGCACUCUUUGAAUAGGAAUCUAUUUUGUGAAAAAUCCCGGCUUUCGUGCUUUGGUGGGUCUUUGAGAUCCUUUCGAUGACCUAUGUUAAAAAGAUAUCUAUCUAUUUAUGAUACGACGAUGAAUUGUGUAAAGCGUGUAGUAGCAACGGAACCAGAGAGAAUAUAUGGAAAAGACAGUUCUAUUGUAUACUAUUCUAUUAUUAUAUAUUAAUAUUAGUUAAUGAUCUCGGCUCAGCGAGUCCUUUCUUUCGUGAUGAACUACCUACAUUUUGUCGCUGUGGGCCGAGGAGAAAGGCAACAAGAGGAUUGUAACAUCAUAAAAGCAAGUAGAUCAACGUCUUUCCAAUAUACAACAUAGGUUUUGGCAAUGCAAUGUGGUUGGGCUCUCAUGUCCAUCCGAAUAAAUCAUCCUUUUCGCUGAAGUAAUUGCCUGCUAGACAAGAGGAUAACAAGUUCAAAAUUCUGUGUUAAUGGUCGGAUUACCCCUCUGUUUUUUGUUUUGUAAUGAUGAAUCUUAUAUGUGUUCCUAAAAAAAAUUUGUAUCUUUUUCAGGGUCUCGGGGAGAAGUGGAAACACAGAUGUAACUCCAGUUACUUCGUAAAUGAAAAAAUCUUUGUCACAAGAAAAAAGGGGUUCAUCCAUUUAAUCUUGCCUUCGUUCUGAUUUAUUUCUAUUUUUAAGAAUACGGAGUCGGGUUCUUACCCGUAUUGAAUAGAACACUGAGCUAAAUCUUCUUUAUUUAGAUCCGGAAAAUCCUAUGGUUUUAUGAAAUCAUAUGAUAUUGCGCAAAUCCAUAGUCAAUCCUAUUUCCGAUCGGAGCAGUUGACAAUUAAAUCUAAUUUUGCCCAUUCAGCUAAGAGUGUUCCACGGAGGCCCGUUUAAGUUAAAAAAAAAAANUAUGAGCAAGUGAAAUGGAAUAAAAGAAAUAACAAAAUUUUGAAAAUUUGUCAGUUUAUUUGAAUCAUGAGGAAAGUGUGAUUCAAAUCAAGGAGCUCAUGAUUUGAAUUAUGUACAAAAAUGAUUUGGAUCAAAUGCAACAGCCCCAACUGGAAAAUGCUGAAAAAGUGUAUGAUUUGAAUCAUGUUUAAAAUUUAUUCAAAUCAAAUCAAGCAGAAAUGAACAUCAAGAAAUUGAUUCGAAUCAUCUGUAAAAAAUGAUUUGGAUCAAAUGGUCCAAAACCAAUUAACAACCACCAACAAAUAAUUCCAAUGAACAUAUGAGCUAAACAACUAAGAAGCAUAUACAACAAUAGAGAUCUCAUAUUGAACAUAAAAAUAGACAUGUCACGAGCAACAAAAUACAAAUAGACAUGCAACACCAACAUUCAAUAGCUAACAAUUACGCGUUCAAAUGCACAUAAUUAGUAACACAUACUUAAAAGACUUAAAUGCAAAUAAGAACAAUUAAAGACACAAGCUAGAGAUGAAUGAGUAACAUAAAAGGGAAAUAAGCAAACCAAUGCAUGACUCUAGAACAAAAACUUAGAAUGAUAUAAACCGAAUACAAGGGUUAUAGACACAUAUUAUUGUAGCUCGGUAAAAACUACGAUUUACUACAAAAUAGUAUUAGUGAAACAAAAUAUAUAUAGAAAAUGAAACUAAACUAAACCCUCAUUCUAUUUAAGGCAUGAAAAGUAUAAGACUCCCAAAUCCCUACAAAUAUUGUGAAAGGAAUCCGUUGACAUGUCAUUGAAUGCAUUCGAUAAUUCAAUAUAAGUAUACUCAUUUUCAUAAUCAGAAUUAUAUACCUUUGAAGUUCCACUUUUCUUACGUGCUAUCAAAAAAAAGCUAGCACCCUCAUCAUCUAAACUCGAUCAAGAAUAGAAGGAGGAGCUCUCAUCCUCUUAUUCCCACAUAAUGUAGGCUUUGUGACCUUUGGAAUUCUUUCCCUUCGUCUUGUAGAAAUCCUUGUCUCUUUUUAUGAUGUUUGGUGAGACUUGGACAUGUGGUUAUAUAGUGUCCCAAUUUACCACACUCGUAACACGUGAUAUCAUUAUCAACUUUCUUGUGAUCUUUCAUGGGUGGAUGAGUAUUUAUGAAAUUCCUUAGACCUUAGUCGGUAUGCUUGAGCUAGUUUCUCUUAAGAUAUCUAUUAUAACGUCUGACGAAUAAACCCAUUUCUUCCUUUUUGGAAACUUCUUCGCCAAAGUUGUCACUUUCUUUCUUUGAUUUCUUCCCUUUAGAAGAUGAAUAUUUCAAAGAAAGAUCUUAUUUCUCUUAUUUAUAUUUCUCUUUAUUUUUUGAAUUUACUUCACUAUCGAUGAUUCAUUUCAACUCAUUCUCUGCUUGACUAACUUUCCAAAUAGUUUUGUAAUAUCCAAAGUAUUAAGAUCAUUUGAUUCUUUUAUAGAAGUGACUUUUGAUUGCCACUUCCUGCACAUGGAUCUCAAUAUUUUGUUAGUACAAUCUUUCUUGGAAAAGAUUGUACCAACUUAUACACUUUGUUGAUUAAAUGGAGGAAUCUAGUUUGUAUGGAAUUCAAGGACUCUUUGGGUCCCAUACGAAAUAGUUCAAACUCUUCUAUAAACAUAUUGAUUUCAUAAUCCUUGAUGUCAUCUGUUUCCCCAUAGAGAGUUUGGAGAGUGUACCACAUACCUUUAGCACUCAUAUGAUGUAAAAUUGAAUAGAACACUUUAGCGCUUAACGGAGAAACAAGUAUGUUCCCCGCUUUCAAAUCAUAUGAAGCCUUUUUGGUUUCAACAUCAUCCCAAUCGUUUGGAUGUUUAGCAACGUCAUCAUUUUCCGUUGGAAUAUUCGGUCCCUCGAUGAUGGCACACCACAUAUUUUUUUCAACUGAUAACAAGUGUACAUAUAUGAUUGGUUUCCAAUAACUAUAAUCUUCUCUUUUGGAAAUAGGUUCUCUAUUAUACGCUCCCUUAGGAUCGUCACCUUCUGACAUAUUCAUAACUUUUGGAUGUCGAUUAGACACAAUCAUGAAGCUAGCAGAAAUAUACCCGAACACAUCGCACGCUCGAAGAUACAACAGAGUUCCCAUCAAACUUUAUUUAUUCCUGUAGGAAAAGGAAAAUAUCGAUAAAACCCGGGGCAAGAGAAAAAGGGCAAGGAAGUCAGUUAUGCAAGGGGAAGGUAUUAGCACCCCUCAUAUUCAUUUUAUUAAAUAGGAACCGUUUUGAUUGUUUUAUGGUUGGAUGAGUGUUACAUCUAAAGAUUACUCACAAAAGAAUAAGGGAAAAAGAACGGAAUAGAUAGAGUGCUCGGUGAGGAUUAAGGCACUCAUGCCUACAUAUCCUUAUAGUGAAAUAAGGAAUUCAGAGCUCCGUAGUUCAUAAAACCAAUGACGGGAGAUGAAAGAAGAGUGAUAAAGGUAUGGUUUGAACCAAAUGAUAAUGUGGUUUGAACCCAGAGGGUAGGUAUGUCUGAACCCAAGAGGAAAACUGGCAUAUUGCCAAAACAAAUGGGUAUUGCUUGUAUACGGUUGCAAAGUAAGUAAAGAGAUGUUUUUCUAAGAAACGAGAGGGAUAACAAGACACAAGAGGGUUUACAAGGCAACAUGGAUUCAUCUAGGGACGAGAGUGUCGCAUCCUGCGAAAAAUCAACCGGCGGGACUCAAAUAAAAACACACACAGAGCCGCCACUGCGCGUUAUUUAUCCCAAGAUAGGGAAAGGAAACGCUCAGAGAAACCUGGAAAGGAAAUGGUCUUGCGACCAAAGAGAAAGGGUAAGGGNGGUGUGACACAAAUUGUCACACCUAAGUUCCAAAAUUCAUAACUCAAUCACCAGGAAUCCAAAAUUCACAAAAUUUACAUGUAAAUAACCAUCAACCAGUCUACAAUUACCACAAAAAUUUUCAAGCGUUUCUUUCACAGCAUGAGGAUUUCACAAUGGAUAUGGUAGAAUGUACCAAAAUAUAUCACAUGUUAAUCAACCCUAAGUCAAACACAAUUUUCACCAUGCACAACUUCAAUCAAUAGGUCAAUAAAAUUCUACAGUCAAUUAGGAAGUCAACAAAAAAAACCACAUAUUUUUCUGAUUUUUAAAUUAUUUUUUAUGAAUUUUUUAAAGUGUUUAUGAAUUUUAACAAUUUUUUAGAAUUAAAUUAAUUAAUUGGAUUAACCAAUGGCAUAGUCGUAAUUAACAUGACGCGGGGGCGGUAAACACUGAGUUCAAAUAUUCAAAUGGAAUUUCAGAUCAAACACCAUUUCAUCAUCGUUUUCAUUCCAGAUUUUCCAGAAAAAGCAAGAACACGAAGAACAUGAAAUCUCCACCAAAACUCACAAACGAAUGUCGUUGGGAACCGUCCCUCAACCAUAGAAAGUCCAAUAUCAUCCUAACUCAACCUAAUUGUUCCUAUAUCUAUGGAAUCGAAGGAGUAGGUGUUUGGUUUCAUACUUCCAAUCAAUGAUUUUCAGCCUACAGUCAUCAUUUACUAAAACUAAAGCAUCACGAGCUCUACAUGAAGAGGUUCUACAAAAACGCAAUAAAGCAUCAAAGAACAUGAACAUUCGAAAAAAUCAAAUACCUGGAAUGCAGCGAUGAAAACUUGGUGUUCUUCGUGCGUGUUUUCCAACAAACAGAUGUAGUAGUGUGAUAAGGAAAGUGAUGAUGCGCUCAGGUUCGAACAAAUCAGCUCCUAAUGCUCCAAAUCGCGAUUUGCAUGAAUGAUGCUUGUAGUGUGCAGUCACGAUUCAAAGCUCCUUUCGCUUCCAAAUCUUCAAAAACAGAUGGAGAUGAUGAUGAAUCAAGACCAAUGCUAAAGAAUUUCGCAAAUUGAGCAAGAAUGGAGGAAGUUUGAUGAAUUUGAGUGUGAAGUGUUCUUGAGAGGUUCUUGGAGAAUUUUGAUGAAUUUUGAUCUGAUUUUGGGAAAUGUGUUUUCUCCUUAUGAUUUAGAUGUGAUUAGGAUAUAUACUCAAGCUUAAUUACCACUUAAUCACACUAAUUACCAAAAAUAGAAAUGAUUAGCAAAAGUGGUUAUUUCAAGCCUGGGGCAAAUUGUAUUUCCACAUGCCAGCUCAUUGCCACCCUCAUGGACAGCUCACACAACUCUCAAAAUGACAUGUGUGAGUUGUUGCAACUUGUUUCACCUUCAUUUGGAUGAGUAUUUGAAAUUCACUAUGUUGAUGGCACUUUGUCCAUUUUUGCAAGUUCAUUCCAAAAGCUAUUUUCCAAACCAUGAUGCUUUAAACGUUAUGAUGAUUCCAACAAAUUUCAAAUACCAUUUGUGAAGUGUUGCAAAAUCCCCACUCAAAAAUCCAAUUAUUUCACACGUUGGACAAUUUUUGCCUAUGGUUCAUUUAACUGUCGCAGUUGAAAUUUGACUUUUUGCAUUGACCAUUUUUGAGAAAACCAAUUAUGCACCAUGAAAGUAUAUGUCAAAUGGAGUUUGUGCAUAUAAAGAAAUUCCAAUUUGGAUGCUCCAUGUGGAAGUUAUGGCCUCCUGAUUAUGGGUCAUUUUUAAUUUCACUGAGCCCUAAUUUUCCAACCAUACAUGGGAAUUUUCAAAGUUCUUGGACUUUUUGGAAAGGUGAGACCAAGAUCUACAACUUUCAUGUUGAACAAAUUUUGAUUUGAAGCUUCCUUGGACAUUUUAUUUUGGAGUCAAAAACUUUCCAUUUUUGGAAACUUCUAUUACAAGUCACUUUCCAUUUUUGGCCAUUUUUGUCCUGACUUGAUUUUCUUCAUUCUUAAGCUUUGAGAUGUCAUACAACACUUGUUCCAACUGAAUGAAGUGUAUCCAACUCAUUUCCAACUCCAAAUCCAUCAGAUCAUGUACAGUUGACCACAGUUGACUUUUUCACUAACAAGAUGAAUUUGGCAAUGCAUAGAUCAAUCUGAGCUCCUCCAAUCUCCUGAUGAAAUGCUCAAGGAUGAAACCCUAACUCAAUUAGCUCAAUACAACCACAUAAUGAUCCCCAUAUCCAUCAUAACCACAUCUCCUGAUUAUGCCCUGAACUGGCCCAAUGGUAACUGAUUAGGGUUGACCAGUGGUCAAAAACCUAAUCUCAAGAAUAAGCUUCAAUCUCCUGAUGAUGACAAACCAUGAUGAUGAUGAUGUAUCAUUGUAAUCAAGAUGAAGACCAAUAUCCUUUGAGAAUCAAACAAAACCCUAAUUCACAGCCCAAUCCUCAGAUGGCCAAUGAUCAGUCAAUAAAACCCUAGCUUGCACAUUAACUUCCUCAUCUCCUGAACAAGACUUGUGAGGAUGACUUGCACAAUGUAACCACAUGAUAUGCAAUAUGCAAUGCCUAAUGACCUAAAAAUGAUAUGCCAUAUGUUAAUGCUAGUCCCAAGAGAGGAGGGCAAAUUUUGAGGUGUUACAGAGAGGUCUUAUAAGACGAACAAUGAAUAAGAUAUGAUUUGCCUAAGCACAAUAGGAUUUACAAGGAAAAUAAGCUCAAAGGGGUUGUCUAAGCACAAAAGGUCUUAUAAGAGAACAAUGAAUAAGAGAUAAUUUUCCA